AGUGAAUAGAUACCCUGGUAGUCCACGCCCUAAACGAUGUCAACUAGGUGUUGGGUGGGUAAAACCAUUUAGUACCGGAGCUAAACGCGUGAAAGUUGACCGCCUGGGGAGUACGGCCGCAAGGUUAAAACUCAAAGGAAUUGACGGGGACCCGCACAAGCGGUGGAUGAUGUGGAUUAAUUCGAUGCAACGCGAAAAAACCUUACCUACCCUUGACAUGCCAGGAACUUGCCAGAGAUGGCUUGGUGCCCGAAAGGGAGCCUGGACACAGGUGCUGCAUGGCUGUCGUCAGCUCGUGUCGUGAGAUGUUGGGUUAAGUCCCGCAACGAGCGCAACCCUUGUCGUUAAUUGCCAUCAUUUGGUUGGGCACUUUAACGAGACUGCCGGUGACAAACCGGAGGAAGGUGGGGAUGACGUCAAGUCCUCAUGGCCCUUAUGGGUAGGGGCUUCACACGUCAUACAAUGGUCGGUACAGAGGGUUGCCAAGCCGCGAGGCGGAGCCAAUCCCACG
rnacentral:rRNA from 1 species